GUGCCAGCAGCCUGCGGUAAUUCCAGCUCCAAUAGCGUAUAUUAAAGUUGUUGUGGUUAAAAAGCUCGUAGUUGAACCUUGGGCCUGGCUGGCCGGUCCGCCUCACCGCGUGCACUGGUCCGGCCGGGCCUUUCCCUCUGUGGAACCCCAUACCCUUCACUGGGCGUGGCGGGGAAACAGGACAUUUACUUUGAAAAAAUUAGAGUGCUCCAGGCAGGCCUAUGCUCGAAUACAUUAGCAUGGAAUAAUAAAAUAGGACGCGCGGUUCUAUUUUGUUGGUUUAUAGGACCGCCGUAAUGAUUAAUAGGGACAGUCGGGGGCAUCAGUAUUCAACUGUCAGAGGUGAAAUUCUUGGAUCAGUUGAAGACUAACUACUGCGAAAGCAUUUGCCAAGGAUGUUUUCAUUAAUCAGGAACGAAAGUUAGGGGAUCGAAGACGACCAGAUACCGUCGUAGUCUUAACCAUAAACUAUGCCGACUAGGGAUCGGACGGUGUUAUUCAUGACCCGUUCGGCACCUUACGAGAAAUCAAAGUGCUUGGGCUCCAGGGGGAGUAUGGUCGCAAGGCUGAAACUUAAAGAAAUUGACGGAAGGGCACCACCAGGGGUGGAGCCUGCGGCUUAAUUUGACUCAACACGGGGAAACUCACCAGGUCCAGACACAAUAAGGAUUGACAGAUUGAGAGCUCUUUCUUGAUUUUGUGGGUGGUGGUGCAUGGGCCGAUCUUAAGUUGGUGGGGGUGACUUGUCUGCUUAAUUGCGAUAACGAACGAGACCUUAACCUGCUAAAUAGCCGGCAUUGCUUCAGCAGUGCGU
rnacentral:rRNA from 1 species